rnacentral:rRNA from 1 species
CCUGGCGGCACUAGCGCGGUGGUCCCACCUGACCCCAUGCCGAACUCAGAAGUGAAACGCCGUAGCGCCGAUGGUAGUGUGGGGUCUCCCCAUGCGAGA